rnacentral:rRNA from 1 species
GACGAACGCUGGCGGCGUGCUUAACACAUGCAAGUCGAACGGAAAGGCCCUGCUUUUGUGGGGUGCUCGAGUGGCGAACGGGUGAGUAACACGUGAGUAACCUGCCCUUGACUUUGGGAUAACUUCAGGAAACUGGGGCUAAUACCGGAUAGGAGCUCCUGCUGCAUGGUGGGGGGUGGAAAGUUUCGGCGGUUGGGGAUGGACUCGCGGCUUAUCAGCUUGUUGGUGGGGUAGUGGCUUACCAAGGCUUUGACGGGUAGCCGGCCUGAGAGGGUGACCGGCCACAUUGGUACUGAGCUACGGCCCAGACUCCUACGGGAGGCAGCAGUGGGGAAUAUUGCACAAUGGGCGGAAGCCUGAUGCAGCAACGCCGCGUGCGGGAUGACGGCCUUCGGGUUGUAAACCGCUUUCGCCUGUGACGAAGCGUGAGUGACGGUAAUGGGUAAAGAAGCACCGGCUAACUACGUG